rnacentral:rRNA from 1 species
CCAGACUCCUACGGGAGGCAGCAGUGAGGAAUAUUGGUCAAUGGGCGGAAGCCUGAACCAGCCAAGUCGCGUGAGGGAAGAAGGCCCUGCGGGUCGCAGACCUCUUUGGACGGGGAGCAAGGCCGCCGACGUGUCGGCGGAAGGAGAGUACCCGUAGAACAAGCAUCGGCUAACUCCGUGCCAGCAGCCGCGGUAAUACGGAGGAUGCGAGCGUUAUCCGGAAUUACUGGGUGUAAAGGGAGUGUAGGCGGGAAGGCAAGUCAGAAGUGAAAAUUAUGGGCUCAACCCAUAACCUGCUUUUGAAACUGUUUUUCUUGAGUGAAGCAGAGGCAAGCGGAAUUCCUAGUGUAGCGGUGAAAUGCGUAGAUAUUAGGAGGAACACCAGUGGCGAAGGCGGCUUGCUGGGCUUUUACUGACGCUGAGGCUCGAAAGCGUGGGGAGCAAACAGGAUUAGAUACCCGUGUA